CCUCCCCCUGCCCCGUGUCCGCAGCCCCGAGGAGCUCCAACGAGCGGGGCUGCGGCACCGCGGCAGGGAGGAGCCGCUCCGGGACAGCCACCGGGGCCUCGGGCUGCUCAGCUGAUACACCUGCCAGCACAUCUUGAGUGGGAAGGGCCACAAGAGGAGCACUGAGCUGAACCCUUCUCUGAACGCCUCGUCUGAGGAUUGAACAUGCAACCUGGGUAUUUUCAGCGCUCUGCUCCAACCAAGCCAAUCUCAGCAGCCCCUGGAAUGUCCGAGGGCAGAGCUCUGUAGCCAGCACCUGACCGUGGAACAACACAGGGAGGAAUGAGCAAGACAAGCCCUGAGGGCUCCCUUAGUCCAUGGCUGAAGUUCUUCUGGAGAGCGUCAGGGCUGGUCCCGCCUGCAGAGGGGCGUCUCCUGCAGGUGUGCAGGGAAGGAGCCGUGCCUGCAUCAUCCCGCCCACAGCACGCAGCGUGCCAAACACGCGUCCCAGGGAUGGGCACCGGGCUGCUCGGACAGCGCUGGCACAGGCACGGCUGAAGGGCUGCCCGGAGCUCCUCAGCCAGGGGCUGCUCUGCACGGGCACGGGGAGAUGCCUCACCGCGCACGGAGGCCACCGAGAGCCCAGAGACGCCCCGAGGAGCAGCUGGCACUGCCUGGGCACGGGCGGCUCGGGCCAUCCGCAGAGGGGCGCAGAUGGCGAUUCCCAGUUCCGACCUCCCGGAGCUCCUGCGCGGCUGCCAGAAAUGAAAUCCCCAGCAAUUCUCUCAGAGAUGCCUUAAAAUGAAAGGUUAGACAAAUGUGUUUGGAUGAAGUUUGGAGUUUUUCAGGGAGCCAGCUGGAAGCUGAUGAAGAAGCGAUGGAAAGCUUUUUCAGGUGGCCUGGUGAUGCCAGGGGGGUUUCUCCUGCUCCUCUCCAGCCUGCGGCCUCUUCUCUCUUCCCCACCAGCUGCUGCCAAGGAAGGAGGACACAUUAUUCCAGGUUUUCCCAGUUAGGAGCUGCAAGGAAUUCAGGCAAAAGACAGCGGGGAACAGCUGUACAUUCAAAGGAAGAAAGAGAAGGUCUACCAGCAAAGGGGAAAGGCUUCAGAAAACAUUUCUGCAAUUAAUAAUUAUUUCCAAUUCCCCAGUGAGAAGGGAUCUUUGGGGAAUCCCUGGUUGUUGUCCAGAAUCUAUAUAAAUCGAAGUCAAGAAAUAAACUUCUCUCUUUUUUCUCUGAA